AAAUCAAAGGUAGACUCGUUGUACUCUUUUCGCCAGUGCUUAUUCGCAGGAUCAUAUCAUCUUCUGUAGAUAUUAGGAAUUACGAAUGAAUCGAAAAGUCCGAGUCCGCCCGUUUGCUACAAUCUACAGUGAAACUAAACACCAACGACCACAAUCACAACCUCGUACUACGAGUACACGAGAACCGAACCACAAAGGACGGAAACGCAAUGUAAAUCCGGACCCAGCUGUAACAUGGCAGAACCACGUAAGGCACGGUGAAGAACUAACGCGUAUUUGACGCGCAUUAAAGCUGAAUUUUCAGAAACGCUCUAAACGUGCAACGUAGAUGGGCGAGCUAUCGGUAUCAGUCGUAUCUUGCAGAUGAUACCUGUAGAAGUACCACAAAAUCUCUGUUCGCAGCUGUUGAAAGCUCGGUAACGCGUUUAAAGCGAGCUCGUCCGUGCCGGGUUAGUUGCGCGUGUUCGGCUGCCGGGUCCGAGAGUUAAUUCGUCAAACGAAGAAGACAGAGAGACUCCUCGUCCGAUUUCAACGUCGGCUUUCCGCCCUACUUCGCGCACGAAUCCACUCUCGCGCAGCGUCGUUCAAAAGUGUAUCGUUGAAUUAUUCAUGACGCGUGUUCUUUUGGACUACGUUAGCGCCGACCACCGCCCACCUCGCCGAGACUUCUCGUUAAGACGUUUGCACGGUGAAUACAAACGCGCGAUUCCGGCAGAAAAAUAAGCGCUAUCAUCGAACGCGCACUCGUUUUCCCGCCGCUUCCCUUUGUAAAUAAGAACGCAGCUAAUGAAACGGGGAAAAAGCAGCAGGGAAUUGCCGUCCACUCGUACCAGGGGACACUUACAAUACGUUGAUUGAAUUUCACCAGUCACGCGCCACGCGCUUCUCGGGAUAAUCCAACAUCCAAUCCAACAUUGUCAGUUCCGCUUCUUUUACGGUAUAAAAUUCGCGUGACGUUAGCGUCUCUCUGUCGGUACGGAACAAUUCACGCGCACCGAAUCCUUCCGCGUUGAUCCUAAUCGCACCGCUUAUUGGAACCAGUGGCCGAUAUUCUCUUUGAUAUUUCGACCUGCACGCGAGACGCGAAACGGCCGGUCGACGGUGGAAUAUUACCGACGAUCGAUCCGCGAUUAUGCAUACGUGACGUUAUCCUAUCAAUCGGGAUUCGUCGGUGGUAUCAGGCCAGCCACCGGCACCGCCAACGAAGAAGCUCGCGCUAAUUCUGCCACGGUUUGCAGACGACGUCCAUGCUCUAAUACCUGAUUACGUAUGCGUGCAUCCGCGUACACGUUGGUCUACCGGGAUUAGACUCUAUCCGGACAAACGGCACCGGUCUGUUCCACUCUGGUUUAACAUUGAGCCCUUAAUCUGUACGUUAUACCUCUUAUCUGGCCGACUAGGCCACGCGGAAUCGGCCGUGCCACAUCGAAAAUUCGCUACAGCUAUUCAUUAUGGAUUAUCCGACGCAGCUAAUCAGCCAGCCGGAAGACUAUAUUUCGGCCAGGUUACCCGGACGCACCGGAGGCCGGCUAUCAGCCGUACGCCCGGUUAAUUAGACAUAGUCGAUCCGGAGAACUAUGAUCGUCGAUGUUCGUUAUACGGCUAUAAUAUUAGAUAGUUGAUUAGACGGGACGGUGUCGCCAGGCCGCUAGACCGUUUGCUUGGAAGGCAGUUAAUUAAGGGACAAUCGUUCCGCGGUUAUAGCGUUAAUUAGCCUGUUCGUGGGCCGCGCAGCGUCCGACGAAGAAUCGUCGUCGUUUUAGUUUUACAACUUGCUCUGUCACUCGUCGAAUAACUUGCUUAGUUACGAGAUAAGUGUCUCGUAUAAGCAUUAAGGCACAAUGAGGGUAAUACGAAAGACGUUUUCCAUGGAGGAUAUAUGAAUUUCUGUUACUUGCGUGUGAACAAUCUUGUUCGAGAAUAGGGUUAGGACAAAUUGGUUUAAUUUCAAGUAUUUAAGAUAUAAUAAUCGUAUGGCCUUGACGGUAUAAAUGUCGUUUAAUUCAAAGGGUCCCCUUUUACAUUUACCCCGCAUAGAUCAUGCGACGAACAGAUCUGUUCUUCGUCGUAAAAAGAAAUAAAAAGAAAUAAAAGUAAAUCGUAUUUGGCAAAGACCAAUUGAAAUUGAGCGAAUAGUACGAUUAACGCGUGGUUUCCAAGUUCUCUGCAAAAUGACUACGAGCCUAAAAUGGAGCUGUGACCUGUCACUUGUAAUAAUUAUACAAUGCGUUUAAUUAAUUUUGCAUCUUUUUAAGGAUCGCUAGAUCUGUCCGCACGACUCGUGGCUCAAUUAGGUUUCGAGCUUCGUCCGAUUUCGACCGCCGAUUUUACGAUAUCGGCACCGAUAUAUUCAUCGACGAUUCGGUCAGAGAAAACUCAGAUCACGUUGGAUAUGGGACGUCAAAUCGUCCACUGGAACGCCGACGGUGAUCGAAAUUAAAUAUUCAAUCAGUGCUGAAUGGAGUAUCGAAUGAAGCGGAAAGAAGAGAGUCAGAACGAUCAGGUGGAGGCAGACAAUGCCUUUAUGAAAUUACGUUAAACGAUAGCCGCCAUAAAAACGUCAAAUCUGUUUCCAUGGAUCAUGUCGCAGGGUCCCUCGAAUCUACCGUUCAACGAAACUACUAUUCAGCGAUAGUGUCGCUAAAAUCUGUCAUUGAUACACUAACGUUGUACCUGAAAUGCGUGGAUAACGCACCAGAUACCCAACGAUUACUCGAAUCGGAAACGAAUAAAAGAGAGAAGGUUACGCGUGGCCGAUGCUAAAACGUAUUGUCCGUACGAGAACGAUUAAUUUGGCCAAAGACUAAACUAGCUUCUCAUAACCGGUACUAUACCUGAAGUAUCGUUGGCGGUACGUUCAGCGGCAAACGAUGCGAAACCGAUGUGGCGCGCGAUGAAAUUGAAGAAAGACGAGGCGACACGACCGGGAGAGUUGCGGCCGUUGGAAACAUAGUAGGAAGAAGAGAUUCUGUCGAGAACGAAGCGGAAGAAAGUUGCGACUGGCAUGGACGUGGGGUUGGUUUCAAUCGGAAAUGGGCUUCCAACCAGCCGAAUAAACGACAACCGAGUCGUGAUAGACGGUGGUGGUGCAAUUUAAACUUUCUCGUUCUCGCCGGCUUAUGGCUCUUUCGACUCACGAACGAACCGGCCCAAGAUAGUGGCUGACAGCUCGGAAGAAAGAUGGCAAAAGGCGGCACCGAUAAUAUACCUAAACCUCGGGAUUCGCCUUGGAACGAUCAAAGUAUCGGCAAGAUUUUGACAGAGAUCCGAAUCACGGCGUUUAACAUUCGCCGUUACAAAAGGCAGAGAAUCGUCGGAUCUUUUUCUUCUUUCGUCUCGCUGUAUUCGCACUGUUGCAUUUAACUGACGCGUAGAUUAGCAGCGACGCAGCGAUGAACCAACUGCUUGGUCCAACACUGGUCUAUCUUGCAGAGACCAACACCCAAAAAGAAAAGAAUAUCGACGUUUCGCCAGCAUUGCAGUCGUAGUGUGUAGUCUUUCGUGGUCUGGAUGUUCCGAGAUGGUAACGAGAGUGUCGCUCGGAUGAGAGUCGCGGGUGAACGAUCGACGCGAAGUCGAUUUUCAAGCUGGAUGAUCGGCUAAGGGUACUCUUAAUUGGACGGCUGAUCAAUUAAAACAGGAACGAACGGAAAGUACGCUGUAUAGGGUGGAGAU